UUUUGUCUGGACUUUUUCACUAGUCCAUGGCUAGCUCCCAUUCUACGUCAAUACACAUACCUAUACGAAUCCAUGAGGAAGAGAGUAAUUGGACCGGGUAAUGUAAUGCUCUGUAUCCUCGAUUUAUCUUGUCAGUUAUAAAAAGUAAGUGACUGUAAUAUGAAAUGUAUUUUUAUUUAUCAUCAAUUCAUUAGGUACUAUGAAACCAGUGGUGUAUAAACCAGACAUCGUGUUAUAGUUCGGGCUGGCGUGCCGCGAAUGGCUGCGCACGAUGGUGGGCUCUGUGCGCAACGCCGCGCUGCCCAUCGCGCUGCUGCUCACUGGGUACAUCUCCGACAGGUGGGGCAGGCGUACGGCGUUCUGCGUAUUCUCAGGGUGUGCGGGUACAUUGGGGCUGGUGAAGAGCUUCUCGAGGGAUUAUCACAUGUUGGUGGCGUUUGAGUUCCUCGAGGCCGCGCUCGGCUACGGCUUCAACAGCGCGGGAUACGUCAUGGUGGUGGAGUCUGCGCUGCCGUCGCAGCGCGCGGCUUUCGCGUGUGCGACGGGCGUGGCGUACGGCCUGGGCGGCAUGCUCUUUGCGCUGCUCGCCUGGCGCCUGCAAUAUUGGCGCAAGCUGUUACGCGCAGUGUACGCGCCCGCGCUACUGCUCCCGCUCUAUUGGAUACUCGUCGACGAGAGCCCGCGAUGGCUUUACGCCACAGCGCGCAGAAAACGCGCCGGCGCAGUGCUGCGCAAAGCUGCCCAGUGGAACAAGAAAACAAUAGACGAGGACAUAAUGAAAACAAUCGAGAGCGGACUCGAAAGAAGUGCAGAUGACCCGGCAGGAGGUGAAGGGGACGGUGUCAACCCGUGGCUAGAGCUCGUGAGAUCGCACGUGCUGAUGAUGCGCUUCGCGGUAUGCUCUUGGUGUUGGGUGGCGGCUGCGUUUGCUUAUUACGGGUUGACCAUCAACUCAGUAUCGCUAUCCGACGACAAGUACACCAACUUCGCACUUAAUAUGGCCAUGGAGGUUGUCGCCUCGCUGCUGCUCAUGAUGGCGCUCGAGCGCUUUGGCCGCAAGAAAAGCGUCUUCUUUUCGUUCCUGCUUUGUGGAGUCGCUUGUGUCAUGCCCCAUUUUGUCUUUCACAAGGGUACCGGCCUGGGGCUAUUCUUCUUGGGAAAACUAGCGAUCACAUUCGCGUUCAACUCGAUGUACGUCUUCACGGCAGAGCUGUUCCCGACGCGCACGCGCAGUUCGGCCCUAGCCGCCUGCUCGCUCGUCGGCCGUCUCGGUUCCAUCGCCGCGACGCAGACGCCUCUGCUGAGCAUGUACGUCCAGGCGACUCUGUACGGCGCGAGCUCGCUGUUGGCGGCGCUGGCGGUGGUGCUCGUGCCCGAGACACGGCGCGCGAGUCUACCGCUACAGCUGCGUGACGCCGAGCACCUGCGUGCCCCGCCACGCGUACCGCCGCUCCCCGCCCCGCCGCCCCCCGCUCCAUCGACACGCGUCUUCUCCGCCGACAUCUAGCACCACCGAUAUUUAUUAUUGAUAGUAGCACAUAUCCUUCCUGCAGAAAUUAUGAGAACCCGUGAAUAAUAAAAGAGGCGAUAUUUCCGACUUCGGGUAGACAUUCCUUCACCAACCUCUCCCAGAAGAUGUCUUCCAGGCGCUGCGCUUGGCUCCACUGGUGCUGACUGGUUAGGUCCGAGUCAGUGAAGCUACCGGGUGCUGUCACUAGGCCCGACCCGCCCAACAGGAAGUGGUUGGGGGUCAGGGCUUUCGGAUGCUCUGGAUCUACUGACACAUGUGUGAGUGGACUUCUAUUCACCGUAUAUUCGGCUUCACACAGCAAUGUACAGUACCUCUUCUUUAGGGCUCUUUUCUUUAAGAACACCAUAGAGAGCCGAUUUUCACUAGGCGCUCCCAUACGCCAACCAUGAAGCGAGCAGCAGGAAAGGUGUAGCGUCA